rnacentral:rRNA from 1 species
AUUGAACGCUGGCGGCAGGCCUAACACAUGCAAGUCGAACUGAGUGGCGGACGGGUGAGUAAUGUCUGGGAAACUGCCUGGUAGUGGGGGAUCACGUCCGGAAACGGGCGCUAAUACCGCAUACUAUCAGAUGAGCCUAGGUCGGAUUAGCUAGUUGGUGGGGUAAAGGCCUACCAAGGCGACGAUCCGCAACUGGUCUGAGAGGAUGAUCAGUCACACUGGAACUGCGAAACGGUCCAGAAUCCUACGGGAGGCAGCAGGGGGGAAUAGUGGACAAUGGGCGAAAGCCUUAUCCAGCCAUGCCGCGUGUGUGAAGAAGGUCUUCGGAUUGUAAAGCACUUUAAGUUGGGAGGCGUUACCAACAGAAUAAGCACCGGCUAACUUCGUGCCAGCAGCCGCGGUAAUAC